ACUCCUACGGGAGGCAGCAGUGGGGAAUUUUGGGCAAUGGCCGCAAGGCUGACCCAGCGACGCCGCGUGCGGGAGGAAGCCUUUCGGGGUGUAAACCGCUGUCAGGGGGGACGAACCCUCUCACUUCGAACAGGGGUGGGAGCUGACGGUACCUCCAGAGGAAGCGCCGGCUAACUCCGUGCCAGCAGCCGCGGUAAUA
rnacentral:rRNA from 1 species